CCAGGCUUGUGUCCAGUCUGGACUCUAUGGAGCAGCCCCCAAAGCAGAUGAGACCACCCACCAGCAGUGAUUCCUUCUCCAGCAGGCUCCUGGGGCAGAUCCUUCAGCUCAGCUUGGUCAAGUACCCUCUGAAGCUCCUUCAGAAAGCCUCUGUGUGGAUUGGAUUGGUGCUUCCUGUGGAGUCCAUCAGGAACAGGCUCUGCCCUCCAUCCCAGUCCCCCUCCAGGCCUGGGCUCCUGCGCCUGCUGCUCUCCCUGACCCCCACCAGCAUCCAGAACCUUCUGUGCCACCUCCCAACUGACUGGAGCCACAGCAGCAUGUCCGAGGAGAUCCGGGAGGCUCCCAUCAACCCAACCAGCAAAGCCAGCAAGAGGAAGAGGGAUGAUGUAGCUCUGGAGCAGCAGGAGUCCUGGUUUGAGGUGCUGGAGAGGGAUUUGCCAGAGGAUGACCCUGAAGACUUCUCAUAUGAGCCCUCAGAGCUGGAGUCAGACAGUGACGAGUACCAGACCCAAAAUGACACCGACCUGGAGCUGGAGGAGCAGGGUGAGAUCACAGAGCUGGAGCUCGCAGCUGUCCAGGGCUUUGUGUUGCCGCCAGAGCUGGGAGCAGAAGAUCCAGAUGUGGCCAGCGGUGAUGCCCAGGAGCCAGGAGGGGAUGGCAGCAGUGAGCAGGAGACUGACACAACCUGUGACACCAGCUCAUCCCAGGAUGGGGUAAGGACCCUUGGGACAAUGCCAGCCUCUGGGUGUGGGGCAGGGGAGGUGCCACAAGUCCCCCGGAUGUCCCCAAGGCUCUGAGCCUUUGUCACAGAGCUCUGCUCAAGGGAAGGGCUUGGAGGGGCUCCUGUCCCUGUGCAGGGACACAGCCUCAGAGCCCAGGUGUUGGUGGGGUGGUGCUGGCUUUGCCCAGUCACCAGUGUGUGAU
rnacentral:lncRNA from 1 species